rnacentral:pre_miRNA from 1 species
AUGUAGGGCAAUCUGUCUUUAAGUAGGAAUAAAUUACUCUAAAAAAAUGAAUCCUAGAUAGUUUUCCCUUCAAGUCAAGUGUCUUGU